AACUUUCAACAACGGAUCUCUUGGUUCUGGCAUCGAUGAAGAACGCAGCGAAAUGCGAUAAGUAAUGUGAAUUGCAGAAUUUAGUGAAUCAUCGAAUCUUUGAACGCACAUUGCGCCCUUUGGUAUUCCGAGGGGCAUGCCUGUUCGAGCGUCAU
rnacentral:rRNA from 1 species